CUUUCCUUCUAUCUAAAACUAAAGGAUGGUACGAAGAAGGGAAUAAGGGUUCUUUUAUAGUGGCUUCCUCAGGGUCACAACACCAGGGAGGACUAUCACAAAGAAAACCUUCUUCUUCAUCAAAUAAAUCGGUCGACCGAAAUCCAUUCUAAAUCAAUCUUCCAUUGUAAUGGCUCUUGGAUUCGCCGCUCUCGCUAUUUCUCUCUUUCUCACCCUCGAUCCUGAUGUUUCUCCGUCUUCUACCGUUCUUCGUCUGCAGCUUCCUCUGAAGGCGUCGAGGUUUUUUAUUUUCUUAAUUUCAAUUUCGUUGGUUAGGGUUAGGGAUCUUGUGAAUUUAUAAUUGAAUUGAAUGAAGAAGUAACUAAUAAGUGCUGAUUUUGUUAUUAGUUUGUUUAUAUUUGGAAAUUGUAUAGGUUCAGAUUACUCAUGGUUUAGUUAUAAAGCUUAUGCACGAGAAGACGAAAUCCAUGUUACAUUCUCUUGAUGUGUCGUAUGGUUCUAGCAGUGAACAACAAUCGGUUACUGGUUUUCCUACUUUUGAUGAUUCCAACAGUGACUGGAUGCAAAAUACUUUUGAAAGGACUCUACAAGUUUAAUAAUUAUUAGGAAUUGGAGGUAGAUAAGGAUGCUAGAGUUGAAUUUCCACCAAGAGAAGAAAAUAGUGUCCCAUUCUUCAUGCCUCCUCAAACUCGUCCGAUUAUUCAUUCUGCGCAGAAUUUGAUGAUGCUUCUUUUCAGGCUUCUCUUCAAUCAGAUGCAUCUGACCUUAGGUUUGUUUUAUGUAUUUCGCUAUAUGGAAGUGUUGCAAUAUGGGAUUUCUCACAUUUGGCGACAACACUUUGUCUUGAUAAUAUUGAAUAUGUCGUUGGUGCAUUUGCUUCCAAAGUUGCAUUGUGGACAACAAUAAGUUUGAAAAUUUGUUGGCCUCUCAAUUCUAUUUUAAUAGUUUCUUUUUAGAGAACAAGUUAUUUAUUUGAACAAGUUAUUUAUUCUAGAUGUUGUUUUCCUUGAUAUAUUCUAGAGAACAAGUUAUUCUAAAGAAAUAAGUUUGAAUGUUUUUAGUUGACAAGUUUAGUAGAAAAAAUUCUUUCUAUGAAGCUGCAUUAUAAAUUUUAUAGCUACAAUUGUUUCUGGUUAAUUCUGAA